GACGAACGCUGGCGGCGUGCUUAACACAUGCAAGUCGAACGGAAAGGCCCUGCUUUCAGGGUACUCGAGUUGCGAACGGGUGAGUAACACACGGGUGAUCUGCCCUCCUCUUCGGGUUAGGCUUGUGAGACUGGGUGUAAUACCUGAUAGGAGCUAUCUUUAGUGGCGUGGUUGGAUAGUGUAUUCGGGGUAGGAUGAGGUCGCGGCGUAUACGCGUGUUGGUGGGGUAAUGGCGUACCAAGGCGGCGAGGGGUAGCCGCCCUGAGAGGGUGUACGGCCACACUGGGCCUCUGAGACGGGCCACAGUCCUGAGGGUGGCAGAAGUGGGGAAAAUCGGACAAUGCGCGCAAGCGUGAGGCAGGGAGGCCGCGUGGGGGAUGAAGGCUUUUGGGUUGUAAAAACCAUUCGCUAGGGAAGAAGCCUUGUUGUGACGGUACCUAGACAAGAAGCACCGGCUAACUACGUG
rnacentral:rRNA from 1 species